GACGAACGCUGGCGGCGUGCCUAAUACAUGCAAGUCGAGCGGAUCUUCAUUAGCUUGCUUUUGAAGAUCAGCGGCGGACGGGUGAGUAACACGUGGGCAACCUGCCUGUAAGACUGGGAUAACUUCGGGAAACCGGAGCUAAUACCGGAUGAUCCUUUUCCUCUCAUGAGGAAAAGCUGAAAGACGGUUUCGGCUGUCACUUACAGAUGGGCCCGCGGCGCAUUAGCUAGUUGGUGAGGUAACGGCUCACCAAGGCGACGAUGCGUAGCCGACCGGAGAGGGUGAUCGGCCACACUGGGACUGAGACACGGCCCAGACUCCUACGGGAGGCAGCAGUAGGUAAUCUUCCGCAAUGGACGAAAGUCUGACGGAGCAACGCCGCGUGAGCGAUGAAGGCCUUCGGGUCGUAAAGCUCUGUUGUCAGGGAAGAACAAGUACCGGAGUAACUGCCGGUACCUUGACGGUACCUGACCAGAAAGCCACGGCUAACUACGUGCCAGCCGCCGCAGUAAGAC
rnacentral:rRNA from 1 species